GAUUGAUGGCUCGGUGAGGCCUUCGGACUGGCCCAGGGAGGUCGGCAACGACCACCCAGGGCCGGAAAGUUGGUCAAACCCGGUCAUUUAGAGGAAGUAAAAGUCGUAACAAGGUCUCCGUAGGUGAACCUGCGGAGGGAUCAUU
rnacentral:rRNA from 1 species